UUUCUCUCAGAAUCGCAUCUGGAGAGUUUCCAGUAUUCUACCAGCUUCAGCUAUGGGAGGGAGAGUCAAGCAGAGGCAUACCCAUUCUAUUCCUAACUUGGGCAGUGGCUAGUCAGUGGAAGGUGAUCUGCUUCAAGU
rfam:Ornithorhynchus anatinus chromosome 3, whole genome shotgun sequence.